rnacentral:rRNA from 1 species
UCCUACGGGAGGCAGCAGUAGGGAAUCUUCCGCAAUGGACGAAAGUCUGACGGAGCAACGCCGCUUGAGUGAUGAAGGCUUUCGGGUCGUAAAACUCUGUUGUUAGGGAAGAACAAGUGCUAGUUGAAUAAGCUGGCACCUUGACGGUACCUAACCGGAAAGCCACGGCUAACUACGUGCCAGCAGCCGCGGUAAUACGUAGGUGGCAAGCGUUAUCCGGAAUUAUUGGGCGUAAAGCGCGCGCAGGUGGUUUCUUAAGUCUGAUGUGAAAGCCCACGGCUCAACCGUGGAGGGUCAUUGGAAACUGGGAGACUUGAGUGCAGAAGAGGAAAGUGGAAUUCCAUGUGUAGCGGUGAAAUGCGUAGAGAUAUGGAGGAACACCAGUGGCGAAGGCGACUUUCUGGUCUGUAACUGACACUGAGGCGCGAAAGCGUGGGGAGCAAACAGGAUUAGAUACCCUGGUAGUCCACGCCGUAAACGAUGAGUGCUAAGUGUUAGAGGGUUUCCGCCCUUUAGUGCUGAAGUUAACGCAUUAAGCACUCCGCCUGGGGAGUACGGCCGCAAGGCUGAAACUCAAAGGAAUUGACGGA